GGUUGGGCAGUUUGUAUAAACUGUUUCAAGUUUUUGAGCUUUAGGGUGGAGAGCU
rnacentral:ncRNA from 1 species